rfam:Myotis davidii contig44241, whole genome shotgun sequence.
UGCAGUUCUCAGGUGACGCACCCGGAACCAGAGAGGGGGGAGCCUGAUUCUGGGGUGUGUCACCCAAGAACUGCC